GAUUUCUCUGAAAGAACAGAGAGCAGGUGAAGAUAAAAACCUGAACCAAUGAUUGCUGCAGAAGCGGAAAAGGCUGCUUCUGAGUCCCUGAGGAUGGCAGCUGAGAUUCUGUCAGGCACCCCUGCUGCCGUUCAGCUUCGAUACCUCCACACCCUUCAGUCUCUGUCCACAGAGAAGCCUUCCACUGUGGUUUUACCUUUGCCAUUUGACCUACUGAAUUGCCUGUCUUCUCCCAGCAACAGAACUCAGGGAAGCCUCCCCUUCCCAAGUCCUUCCAAACCUGUUGAGCCACUAAAUCCUAAAAAGAAAGACUCUCCCAUGUUAUAGGAAGGAUGGGGCAUAAUGUGACUGUAAAGGGGCCUGCCAUAGAAAAGUCACAUGCCUGAGGGAGACACUCUGUCCUCAUUCCCUGCCCUUCCUUUGGUUGCCAUAUGGAAUGGCCAUGGAAUGCACGAAGUCACAAUGCACCAUCCAUGAGAAGACGGUGAAAUGAUGUAAUGACAGAGAAGGCAGACAACAUGUUUCCGUGACUCAUCUAGUCAGAGCAAUUAUGGGAAACAGCUUUGGUCAACAUUCUACUUUGGAAAGAAUUUUGAGUCUAGAUGUGGUUAAAUUUUGACUUCUGGGAACUUGGUUCAGAUGUCCCUUUCACUGUAUGUCCUCUGACCCCUUUGGCAAGGUUGCCACAGCUCCCACAGCCCUUCCUACAAGCACCUAUCAUUGGGCUUGUCACACUCUAUUGCUCUUCUGUCCCAAAGAUGCAGUCUUCUCUCCAAUGAUACUACCAAGUCUUAGUUUUCCUCAACCACACUCAAUCUUUUUGCUCCACCCUGAAUUCCUCACACCUAACCCUGAUAGUUACCUAAAGUGACACUUAAAUGUUUCAGAGUGAAUGCAAAAAAGAGAGAUGUACUUGGAGUCGGAUAUACA
rnacentral:lncRNA from 1 species